CACAGAUGUCGAAUACUUUUUACCUUUCGAAUUCGAAGUUUUUUCACUAUAUUCUGAAUAAUUUUUCAGAUUGAUUGUGUAAAAUCGAGAUCUUUCACUCACAUCCGCAUAGUUGCAGUGGUUCUUAUUUUACUUUUAUUUAAAUCUACGAAUGGAAACCCUAAUUGCACCUUACUAGCAUAGUUGCAGUGGUUCUUAUUACUAGCAUCAUCAGAUCAUUAAAACGAAUCGAUCUGCCUCUUUCAUCUCCCUUUGGAUCCAUCUCCUCUACUAAGCCAGGAUAAAAUUCUCAAAAAUGGAGACUCAUCCAUCAGAGGAAGAAACAGAGGGGAAAAUCAUCUUUCAGGCUGUAAAUUUUCAACCAAAUCUCUCACCAUUUAUUUCGGUGUUAAAUUAUUGCUAAAAAAUCAUUGAUACCCUUCUUCAAAUCGUUCAUACCCUUUUUCAGUAUCUCCAUGUUUCACCAAAUUCGAACUUUUCUCUCAAUUUGAAAAUCAGUGAUGCUACCUCACAGUCCCAAACUGAAAUUCUAAUCCUAUUUUUUGUUUAAUUUUAAUUGAUUUUAAUUUUUGUUUUAGGGGGUUAUAAUGCAUUGUUGUUUUGAUUCUGGAAUAAACAGAUGAUUAAGUUCAAAUCCUAACCUAAUUAUUUGGUGCUUAUUGGGUGUUAUUUUGCUUCAAUCUAAUAAGAGUCUGGGUAAAAAAGUCAUCACAUUCUUUUAAUUUUAGUUUUUCUAACUCAUCAAUUUCAUGUAAAUUGAACUUCUUAGUUUAGAUGGGUAUAAGUAGAUGAUGAUGUGUGAUUGUUGUCCUUUAUCUUGAUCAGGGUUACCACUUUUUGUUGAUUUUGCAGGUGGAUAAAAGGGUAAGAGUAGGAUUCAUCAAAAUAAAAUAAUUGAUUUGGAUUAAUGUUUGGUAGAGAGUGGUUGUUUGCGGCAGUGACCUGGAUGCACAAUGGCUUCAUGAUAAUGGAGUUUGGUUUGUAGCGAGAUUAGUGUUGUUUGAACCAAUCUUUAUGCAUCAAAUGAAUCUUAUGAGGCAUGUAAAUUGAAACUCGGAGAUUUUAAAGGAGCAUCAUUGGACACAGAGUUCGCCAUGCGCGACGGGAAGGAUAAUGUCAAAAUUUUGUUUGUUCAAGGACAGAAACUAGCAACAACUAGGAUUUGAAUAAACUAUUGGAAUAAAAUAUUGCAGAAAUACGUGUUCAAAUGGCGAGAUUCAAAACACCCGCACACAAUGAUGAAACUACUCGAGUUACAGAUAGCCGGUUAUGGAAUUAUUCCUUGAUAUGGAUUAAUUCCAUAACUGGAAUUAAUUUCAGUUCAUUGAUAUGGUUUUCUACUGUAGUAGGUUUUUUCCGGGUAAAGUCAAGUCCGAUAGAUUCUCGUCCAGGAUUAUAUCUUGGGGUUUUCCAUACAUGUUUCUAUUCAGUGUCGUCUAAUAUCUGCGUGAAUUGUUCUCCUAUCAGGGAUCUUCCUGCAUAUUUUCCCAUGAUGCAACUCCCUUGAAGAAAUCCAAGGUACAAUUAUUUCAGGCUUCUACGAAAUACCUUUUAAGCAAUCACUGUCGUGAUUAUAGUUUUUUAGUUCCUUUUUUCAAUUAAAUUUAUAGAGAGUAUCAAAAGGUCCAUCAUUUCCUUUUUUUUGAUGGUAUUAAUUUAAAUUUCUAUUUUGAACUCUCUUUAUGUUAUUGAUUGAAUUAGUAUAAUAUCUGGAGGAGCCUUGAAAGGGUAUUCAUCCGCAUAGUUAACUCAGGAAAGCUAUCUUUCAUUACACUAAAAAAUCAUCUAUCGUGUUUUGAUAUCCGACCCUAAUUAUCCCCUUUUGUCUCGGUGUUAAUUUGACACUAAAAAAUCCCAUAUUUAUUAAAAGAAAUUAGGUUGAGUUUUAAUUCAUCUCUUCAAAGAAAAGAGAUGAUGAGUAAAGAUGGAUGUAUCCUUUUACUCUUCCAGAAGAAAGAAAUCCUAAGUUCUUUCUUCCAUGUUAUUCUUUUUGCUCUUUGUGCUCUAGGUUUCUGGCCGUUAAAAAUUUGUUACGGAAGGAAUUUGAAACCUAGGUUUUAAAUGUCAAUAUUAUCAAGAAUACGAUGAGGUGGGGGAGUGAUGGAGAUUUGCCGAUGAGGUAUUUUGAUUUCUGCUUCCAUAUUCUUUCUAAAUUUGUGGGAUUUUAAAUCUUGAAUUUUAAUUAUGGAUUUUGAAUAAUUAUUAAUAUGAAAUAUGAAUUGGGGUUUUGUUCAUGUUACUGAUGGUACAACUCUGGGGGCUUUGUGUUACCAAACAUUGAUUGUCCCUCACAUCACUUGAGAAUGAAUCUAUGAAUGUUGUUGAAAGUUGAACCUAACGUUACAGGUCCAUCUUAUAUCUUCUUUUUUGUUGUUGAUAGUUAAGUCCAUAUUAUACCUGCAUAUUUGUAUUCAGCAGCGAUGAUUCACUUGAAUAAACCUAUAUGAAAUUAUUGAAAAUCCAAUAAAUUUAAGUGAAACAUUAUUGAAUUUGCUUACCUCUAUAAUGACAUCCCCUAUGAGUAUUUAUCUUACCACCAGCUAAUGAAUCUUGAUCAUGUGUAUAUUGUAUAAUCUCUAAUAAUCUCUAAAUUGUGUGUGUAUAUUUUUGAACCCGGGUAGUGACUGUAGUGAGGUGUGAAGAAGUUUACGUGCUUAUUUUUCUAAAAUUUAAAUAUUUAUUCAUAACUGCACGCGAAGUACCCACACGACCCUUAUUUUGUGGUGAAGCAAUUCUGGAGUUAAUGAAUAUCAAAGAAGUUACUUUUUUUUAAAGCUCAGCACUCCUAAUUGGGUCUUUAAUACCUUGCUGUCUUGCCACAACUUGCACAUCUCCUUGAUACUCUAUACUUUCUACCCUCCACAACCAAGAAGUAUUUUCGCCAGGAAGAUGAGGCGGUUUUCACUGCGAAUGACACAGAUAUAGGUUCAGUAUGGCUUUAAAUAUCUUGAAAAUUAAUCAUCUAUAUAUGGCUUGCAACUACCAGUCUAGGGUAAGGUGUUAGUUUUCUCUUAUUAUCACUGAUUUUCAUUUUACUUUAAGUUUGCAUGUUCUUAUUAAAGUAUUAACAUGGAAGUCUCCCUACUACAGUUGUAAGACUUUACUUUCAUUUCAUACCUCGGAGAGUGAUAUUAUUUGGGUCAUUUAAACAGAUAAUUUAUCUGCCUCCGAUGAAGUUUGUUGCAUCUAUUUUACUGUCAUUGUAGUUGCAGGAAAUCCUACAACACACCCCUUGUAUUAUCAUGACUAUGAUUUCUAGAUCUAAACUUA